rnacentral:misc_RNA from 1 species
AACAUCGCGCACCUGCGGGAACCAGCGGAAGGAUCAUUACAGAGUUGCAAAACUCCCUAAACCAUUGUGAACGUUACCUAAACCGUUGCUUCGGCGGGCGGCCCGGGUCCUUCCCGGCGCCCCUCGGCCCUCGCGGGCGCCCGCCGGAGGUAAACCAAACUAUUGCAUUGUAUGGCCUCUCUGAGUCUUCUGUACUGAAUAAGUCAAAACUUUUAACAACGGAUCUCAGAUCGGAAGAGC